GGGGAAUUGUUCGCAAUGGGCGAAAGCCUGACGACGCAACGCCGCGUGGAGGAUGAAGAUCUUCGGGUCGUAAACUCCUGUCGAGUGGGAAGAAUUGCUUUCGGGUGAAUAUCCCGGGAGUUUGACGGUACCACUAAAGGAAGCCCCGGCUAACUCCGUGCCAGCAGCCGCGGUAAUACGGGGGGGGCAAGCGUUGUCCGGAUUUAUUGGGUUUAAAGGGUGCGUAGGCGGUCUUGUAAGUCAGUGCUGAAAUAUCCCGGCUUAACCGGGAGGGUGGCAUUGAUACUGCAGGACUUGAGUGAAGUCGAGGUAGGCGGAAUUGACGGUGUAGCGGUGAAAUGCUUAGAUAUCGUCAAGAACACCAAUAGUGUAGACAGCUUACUAGGCUUUAACUGACGCUGAGGCACGAAAGUGUGGGGAUCAAA
rnacentral:rRNA from 1 species